UCCUUUCUAUCCCUAGAAAGGACUGCUUUUUGGGAAGUCUCUUUGAGAGUCUUUGUUAGCAGGGAAAAGGUACCUGCGGCAGCUGCUUUGCAGGUCCCCUGCUGUGCGAAUCGCCCUUCACAGAGGCAGAUCUUCCUGUCAGCGACUGACAAGAGGUGCCAGGAGCAGGCUACGAGACUUUUGAAACCUGAACUGUGUUUACAACAGCCUAAACAAGGAGAAAAUAUUCUUAGUACUAAACAGCUCUUGUUUUUCUUCUCCAAAGAAAUAAAGAUGCCUUUCAUAUUUUCUGAGACUGACAAUGUUGAAGAGGCUAAGAUACAGGAUAAAUUGAAGGAAAGAAGGAAGAGACUUGCUGUACCUACCAUGUUCUUUAGGGAAAGUUAUGGGAUUUUUAGGUGGGACUGGGAAUGCACCAGACAGUCCUCUCUCCUCAAUGUACAGUUGAAGGAAAAGGGUCUGGAGGGGUUUAGAAACUUGGUUUAGUUACUGAACCAUCUUAAAGAGGUUUAAAAUCAGCCCUAAGUGAAAGCACUUUGCAGAAGAAGGUGUAGCUCUCAGGCAAAACAACACUUGAAUCAAAUGCAGAAUAAAUAGCCUGAGUAAAGGACACAGAAUUUGGUCCACUGUGAUCAUUUGAUCUGAGUGGCUUAAGGCUUUGCAUGCUUCAUACUUGCAAACCAGCUGUGAAAUGCAGGAAAUACAAGUAGCCGUGGUCUGACAUUUCCCCAUCUGUUCCCAAUAUUUAAUAAUUUGCUCUCUUCUCUGAGCAUAUUAAGUUUAUUUAUAAAUUUUUAAAAUGUGUUUUAUUUUAUAUAAUGAGCUUAAAGCUAUAAUGGCCUUUUUGCUCCAAAGGGCUCAAAGCACUCUCCUUUGCCAGAUGGAGGGUAUUAAUUUUUCUGGAGGAUUUUGUGUAUAAGGUACAGAUGGACAAGACACAGUUUUAGCACACCAGGCUUUUGCCUUGUUGUUCUGUGUGUGUUUCUAUUCUCUAGAGCUUCUGUGCAGUGAAUGUUUUGAAAGGCUAAAUUCUUUUUUGCUUUGCUCUGAGGAUGAUGGAGAGUGAGAAGUAAACCCUGGUUCUCACAGCUGAGAUCAGUGCCUUAUCAGCCAUAAAAAAAAUCCUUCCCUUUGAAAAGAUUGCUAAGAAUUAUCCUCACCAUCAGCAGGAAUUUUGCUGUUGAGCUGAACAGCACUAAACACACCUAAACCAAACUUCAGCCAAGAACAGCUUUUAAAAUAUUUUAGGAAAGUCUUGUUUUUACAUAUGAGAUUAUAUAUUAUAUGGAGAAGAAAAAGAUACUGGAUCUAAAUG
rnacentral:lncRNA from 1 species